GGGGACAUGGUGAAACUGGUAGACACAAGCGACUUAAAAUCGCUCGGAGCAAUCCGUCCGGGUUCGACCCCCGGUGUCCCCACCA
rnacentral:tRNA from 1 species